UAUUUUUGUCUUGCUAUUGACUGACACAGCUCUCUGUCUUGAACUGUAGAAUCCACUCGAGGGCUGCCGUCAGUGCAGGUCGUGGAGGUGCUUCCCCCAAUACCAGAACUUGAAGUCACUUCUGCAGUGCACCAGCAAGAUCAAUACACACGGCUAUCCUUGGACAAUCUGGACCAAAGACUUUGAAGAGUUUGGGCCCAGUUGAGGAAGUACUGAUAGGUGAAUGGCAGUGAUGAGACCCUGGCUGAUGGGAGUCAACUGGAGAGUGUAUAUCUGACCCACGAGAUCAAGGGGACAAGAGUGUGUCAAGAGCUGUUGUGAGUCAAGGAAGACAAGCUGAUGGAGUCCAUGGGAGAAUAAGAGAGUGGGUACCUCUUCCACCCAUCAAUAUCCUGCUCAGCAUGGACGUGGGCUUCAUCUUGAGGAACCAAGAGUGACCAAGGAUGAAAAUCCACAUACUGGGUCAUGUUGCAGGUGCAGGAUGGUUUUUCCUACACAGAUGAACAGUUUCUAGUUGGCAAAUUGUUUAAAAGGGCCUGUGUAUUUGUUCAACAUUUAUUUGCAUUUAUAAAUCUUGUCUCCUUUUAGCAUAAGACUUUUUAAAAAAAUCAAGGAUACUGUAAUAAAAAGGACUCAAAUGAAAUGCCUUGAGUAUUUAAAUUUGA